CGAGUUAAACGCUAAACAUUAGAGUUAGAAUUUGAAGCGAACCUCGUUUUGUUUAACGGUUCUGUACCAACCUAAAUAUAUCAAAACCCGUAGCAGGUAAAGGAUUUUGAGAUGGGACGUUAUUAGGUGCCGAAAAAUCCAAACAAUACAACGCUGUACCCCGGGACAAGCGAAAAUAGCCUAACCUUGAAAAGCGUGACUGAAAAAUCCGGAUUGGACGUAUUUUCAGCGCCCAGUAGUAAAUAUUUCACGGGACGCUAGUCAUGAUAAUUGAAAACUUCGUUUACAUCGUUAGAUAAGGGAGUGAGUAACUCUGAAAGACAAUGGGGGUCUUUAUUGGGCUGAGUACUAAAUAACAAGAUAUGGUCGCGAUCCAAUUGUUUAACGCUUACAAUAAAUCUCGCAUAUAUGAUA